rnacentral:rRNA from 1 species
GGUGAAUCUGAAUAACUCAGUUGAUCGCACAGUCCUUGCACUGGCGACGUAUCUUUCAAGUGUCUGCCUUAUCAACUUUCGAUGGUAGUUUACAUGACUACCAUGGUUGUAACGGGUAACGGAGAAUAAGGGUUCGACUCCGGAGAGGGAGCCUGAGAAACGGCUACCACAUCC